GCUCGAGUCAUCAUCAGGAGAG
rnacentral:misc_RNA from 1 species